AGCGAACGCUGGCGGCGUGCUUAACACAUGCAAGUCGAACGUGAACGGGAGCAAUCCUUAGUAAAGUGGCGUACGGGUGAGUAACACGUAGGUAAUCUACCUUACAGUUCGGAAUAACCUGACGAGAGUCGGGCUAAUACUGGAUAGAGCGAUGGAAGUCGUAACGACUUUUUCGGGAAAGGGAGCUCGAUAAGAGCCUU
rnacentral:rRNA from 1 species